GUUGCACAUUGCGGUUCUUAGUGCUCUCGCGCUCCCACUGUCGCCGCUGCUGCUGCUGCCCGUUUCUUUUUCCAUCUUUGGAGUCAGGCCGUCCCCGCCUCCACGUUCGUUCUGCGUGUGUGUGUUGUGUGUGUGCAUAAUUUCGCGUAAUGACGCUGCGUCCGUUAUAUAUCGGCUCUCGGAUGGUGCCUGAAUAUUGUAUUUCCUAAAUCUUGUUGACGGCCUUUCCAUGGCACACCUCCUGGCAUCCCCGUCUGCCCGAGUGUCUGAUUUGCAUUUGGACAGGUGCGCCGAGCCGGGCCACCACGAUCAGCUUUGGAGCUGCUGCCAAAUGACGUUCUUCAACAAUGGAGGAGGAAACAGCAGAGCCAGAGGGCAAACCCAUGCCGCUCACUGUGUUGGCCGUUGGAAGUGCCAAAGGACAAUGGUUCAAGUGCAAAAGGGAAUGCCGCCCCAGCACGACGAGCAUGCAACAAGGACGGAGCGACAGGCAAGGACAUUACGAGCAAAGCGAAUAAUUGUGAUUAUAAAGAGGAACUACAGGAAAAGGAGCCAUAAAGUAGAAGGAAGAGCUACAUGAAGCAGCGAAGGAAGAGAGCUCCACCAAAACAAAGAACUUUAACAAAGAGCAACGCGAAGGAAUUGUCAUAAAGAACAGACACACAAGGAGAGAACUUCCAGGACAACUUCAGCUGCUCCAAAUCGAAUUUCACAACUUUACCAAAUGGAUUAAACAUGUUUUUGCCUCUACAAGAGGGUUGUUCCUCGCUCGAGGAAUACAAAAAGGAAGCAACAUCUUCUUCUAUCAAUGGAUAAAAUAGUUUAUAAAACAACAGAGAAAAAUGGUGCAUACUUAUAUAUGGACCAUUAACAGAAACCCGUAAUUCCGAACUUGUGCUGUUUUAUAUCUGUUACAAGACCGGCAUUAUGGGAGUCUGUCAAUGCAAACAACUGGUUUUUGGCAACAAAAUUGAUCACAAAUUUUUCAAAAGUAACUACUACAUCUUUUUGCAUACAAAUUGAAGGAUAAAUGAAGGAAACACAACACGCAACUUAGAGGAAUUUAUGUAAA